UCAACGGGCCAUUUCCCAUUAAACGAGUCACACAGAAAAUUUAACCAACAAAUCAAACACUAUAUUGGGCCGUUAAAUGCUCUAUGAAUGCCCCUAUUUACCAAUUCAAUCACACCCUUAUUUUAAUAAAUAAUAACCCUCUCAAUCUCAACUCCUCUUUGUAGUGCAUAGACAUCACAUCCGCCGCAACCGAAAAUCGAAGAUGUACGGAACAAUGUCCGCUGAGAUGACAGUUGAUGUACCCACAACCGAAGCGUGGAAGCUCUACGGAACUCUACAGCUCCCCAAAGUGGCGGAGGAAGCCAACUCCGACUUUAUCAGCCGGGUCGACGUCGUCCAAGGGGACGGCGGCACCGGAACCAUUCUCGAGGUUGUUUUUCGUCCAGAUGGGAGGGGGAAUGUAGUCGUUCAAGGAGAAAUUCAUGGUGGUGGAUAACGAGAAGCGUGUGAAGGAGGCAGAGGUUGUGGAAGGUGGAUUUCUGGAUCUAGGGUUUACGCUAUAUCGUAUGAGAUUCAAUGUUAUAGAGGUGGAGGGAAACGAGAAGCAGUGUAUAACUCGAUCUAAGAUCGAGUACGAGCUUAAAGAAGAAGCUGCAGCGAAUGUUGAAAUCGCUUCCAUUAAACCAUUCACUGGCCUCAUGCUACUCUGUGCUAAGUAUUUGCUCCCCAACAAUGACAAUUUAUCAACUAUAGCCGCAACAAUGACAAGUGAUCAACUAUUAACUUAGUACUGCGUGUUUUACUUUCAUGUUUGCUAAAAUAAAUUUCUAUCCUCCUACUAUAUAUCUCUGUAUUUCAUUUUCUCUUUUUCCAUGCUUUUAAUAACAAGAAUCAAUAUGAAUCUACA